GACGAACGCUGGCGGCGUGCCUAAUACAUGCAAGUUGAGCGAUGAAGCUUGGUGCUUGCCCCAAUUUGAAGAGCAGCGAACGGGUGAGUAACGCGUGGGGAAUCUGCCUUUGAGCGGGGGACAACAUUUGGAAACGAAUGCUAAUACCGCAUAACAACUUUAAACAUAAGUUUUAAGUUUGAAAGAUGCAAUUGCAUCACUCAAAGAUGAUCCCGCGUUGUAUUAGCUAGUUGGUGAGGUAAAGGCUCACCAAGGCGAUGAUACAUAGCCGACCUGAGAGGGUGAUCGGCCACAUUGGGACUGAGACACGGCCCAAACUCCUACGGGAGGCAGCAGUAGGGAAUCUUCGGCAAUGGACGAAAGUCUGACCGAGCAACGCCGCGUGAGUGAAGAAGGUUUUCGGAUCGUAAAACUCGGUUGGUAGAGAAGAACGUUGGUGAGAGUGGAAAGCUCAUCAAGUGACGGUAACUACCCAGAAAGGGACGGCUAACUACGUG
rnacentral:rRNA from 1 species